rnacentral:rRNA from 1 species
UGCCAGCCGCCGCGGUAAUACGGAGGGUGCAAGCGUUGUUCGGAUUUAUUGGGCGUAAAGCGAGUGUAGGCGGUUUGACAAGUCGGGUGUGAAAGCCCAGGGCCCAACCCUGGAACUGCAUCCGAUACUGUCAGGCUAGAGUCCCGGAGAGGAUGGCGGAAUUCCCGGUGUAGGGGUGAAAUCCGUAGAUAUCGGGAGGAACACCAGUGGCGAAGGCGGCCAUCUGGACGAGUAUUGACGCUGAGGCGCGAAAGCGUGGGGAGCGAACAGGAUUAGAUA